AUGCAAGGGAGGGCAGUAAAAAGCCAGGCUGCUUUCAGGAGAGCGUCUUGUUUGAACGGCUGCAGCCGCGCUCAGCUGUCCCACCAGCCGCAGCCCAGCCGGGCGUGGCUUUGCGUGUCCCCCAGCACUGAGCACUGCCCCUCUGACACCGCGUGCUGCCUGCUCCUCAGCAGAAAUCGCUGGGAAGGCAGCAGCACAUCUCCUUCUCCACGUCCUCCUCAGGGACCUUUCAUCCUCCUCACGUUAGCAGAGACAAAAGUCACGGCUAUGGAUAGGCCUGCCUGGAUGAUGUACCUGACUGCAGCCGCUCUGGUCAGAUCUGCAGAGGCACCCAUUACAGCACCUGUGGUGUGCUGCUUCUGGGUGGCCAGUCCAUCUACUGCCAUCAACCAGAUUAUCCUUUCAGCACCCCUGAGACACGUGAGUCUGCUUCAGCAGAUUCCCCAAAGGCAGGGGGACACGCAACGUCACUGUAAGAGGAUUUCCCAGGAUUAGGAAGUGAUCACAACAUGAAUGAAAUUACUCAGCAGUGUCACCACAUUCACCAGCUACCACUGACCUUUGAAAACUUCCGUGUCUGCUUCGCUGACAUGUGCUCUCGGUUCUGAACAAAACACCUCUGAGCUCACUUCAGCCAAAACAUCACCAACAUUUCACUCUUCAGUAAACCCCUUAAGACCCUCUUACUUGCCAGCCCUCCCAUAGCCAUCCCUCUCUGCCCUUGUGUCAUACCUGGCUUGAUCUCAUUUACACCUUGCACUCUGGCCAAAACCCUGUGUUUUUAAUUCUUUCCUCUUUUUUAACUGGGAUGCCAGUAAUCAGUCUUCAGUCUACAUUAACUAAUAGCCUAUACAGACACACUUUCUCCUAGUCCUACUGAAUAUAUUUUUUAAAAUACAACAUAGGGUAUUUUAGACAGAAAGACAGAGACAUCCCCUGAAACUUUAUUAAAAAGGAAUAAAAGUCAAUGCAUGGCAGCCACACUCUGUCUGGUACAAACCCAAAUUAUGAGGUUGGACAUAGAUACUUCAGGCUAUUGGACUCUUCUGGCAAGGGAGAAUCUUUUACUUUUAAUAAAUAUUUCAAAAGACAUGGGGUUUAUUCCAAUGAUGGUUUUCAUGGAAGCAGAGCAAUAAGAUACUGUUUUCAAAAUUGCUUCAAGCACAGUUUCUUCCCACUUGCCAAACCCUAGCAGCCAGAGCUCCACAGCUCUUUUCAUGCUAAACUUCCUAUAUUCCAGUCACAAGCAUAUAACUCAUAAUCCCAUUCAACUUUGAUACCACAACUGAAUUGCCCCAUCCCAAUCCUGUGGUUUCAGACCCAGCAAAUUUGACAUUCACGCUUGUACGGAAAAUAGCUUGAGGGCUAAAAAGUCUGUGGAGGUUGGCUUUGUUAUUGGGUGGAGAAGGCAGAAGAAUAACUGGAAAGGGAUUAGGCACGUUAGCUUCAUGCUGGAUGAGGAAAGCUGUGUCUUGGCAUUUUUUUAAAUGGGGAACUCUGUUCCAGGAUGACUGGGAUCACCCACUGAAUAGAAUAAUUAAUUGUUCAGCUGCUCAUUAACCUCACCCAUCACUUACACAUUUUUUGUUGAAGCUUGAAAGAGCUGUUGCCAAAUCAACACCAUUUUUUCCUUAAAUCCAUCUCAAUUCCAAGUCUAACUUAGAUUUUCUCCAACCUUUGAACUCAGUGAACCUCAGUUAUGGGGACAAGAACAUUUAUAUUGAAACAUGUCACAACAUGAGCUGGGAGAAAGAAAAAUGAAUGUUUUAAGAGUGCAGUAGCAUGGGGGUAAUUUUUCACCCUUGAUUCUGAUGUAAGCACAUUUGGUGAACAUUACAAUGGGGUUUGUGUGCUUCCCAUCUUAUAAAGUGGUGAAGCAUUUUGAGAUCUGAAAGUAGGAAAAUAUUGUACUGGCACUACAUAUUCAUGACUGUGUUCUCUGUUUUAUGCCAUCUGUUUUUCUUAAAAUGUUUGUUUUUCCAGCUGUCUACCCAUCCUCUCUUUCCUGGGAGAUGUGCAAAUGCCUUGCUCCACCUCCUUCUCUGUAGUGACAGAAAAGGCAGGCAGUGCCAUCACAUUGUCUGCACUGUGUCAGCCUUGGCUUGUUACACAAUCCUUGGAAUUCAUACAGCAAGUCACAUAGCAUGGCAUAAAUUUUUAUACCUAUGCUGAUCCCUUUGGAGUUACAGACUAAGGAGAUGGAGGGCAAGUAAGCAGAUAUACCUGGGUGGCUACUGCACUUAUUUUGUCUCCCCUUCUCCCGUCAGCUGCUAAUAUUGCCUUUGAUAAGGUAGGAUAUUCAUAUGAAACAUAUUGAAGAGGGAGAAAUCCACAGUCAUGAUAGCAGGGAAAAACAAACCAAACCAAACCAAACCAAACCAAACCAAAACAAAACAAAACAAAACAAACCAAACAAACAAACACAAAACAAAAACAAAACAAAAAGCCAAAACAAAAAACAAAAAAAAACCAGAAAAAGGUACAAGUUCUGCAAAAAGAAGCUACUGUUGUUUCAAAUGAGUAAUGUGUUAGUCUCCAGGUCUCCAGAGGCAUUUAUCUGACUUUUUUUUUUUUACUGGACUGACCAAAAUCAGAGCGCAGUCUGCCCUAGAGGGAAAUGCCUGCCAGACACAACCUUCACAUAAAUAUUUCUCAAAUUAAGUAAUUUUUUUACAAGAAAAACACAAAAUCCAGCCUGAUAGAAAUCUGCAUGUGAUGGAAAGAGCUAAGCAGCCCCCUCCUGCUUGGAGCCAGGAAGGGGUGAACGCUCUUCAGGGACAACUACUGCUUCCUCAGGCACAUCUUCCUGCUCCCACUGUGCUAAAGGCCAGGUCUGAGUCCAGCAGCUGCAAGUCUGACCCUCUGGCCAGUUCCCAGCACCUGCAGGCUGCUUCCUGCAGAGCCACGCCAGCUGCUUUCUCAGGUCUCUAAAGGGCAUGGAUUUUUCUUACACUGUUUUUCUGCACAGAUUUAUUUGCAUGAAAUGAGUGUUCUUCAAACUCAGAUUCUUUCUUUUUCUUUUUAAGAUCAAAAGCCUAGUGCCCUUUACUGCAGCUGUGUGUGUUGCUUAGCAUGUAAGCCAGUUUUAAAAAUCUACACAAACCGGCUCUGAGGGGCUCCUUUUCCUGCAGUGCAAGAGGCUUUAGGCAAAACAUGUAUCAGUGAAAAGUAAAUUCAAAAGGAUAGACAUGAAGAUAAAGCCAAAAACCUGAAACAUAAUUUGGGAUGAUAAAUAUUCCAGCAUAUUUUACAUUAGGUAUCUAAAUCAGAACCUUUUUGGAGUUUCUGUUUCAGUUCCCACAUUUUAGCCCUCGGAAAAAUAGAUGAAGAGAGGCAACACUCAUACAGAUAGUGUCAAAGUAAUGCUUUUCCUUUCUCUUCCAAACAGGGCUUUCUACAAAUGAACAAUAACAUCUUAAAGAAGUUUUCUGUAGGAAGAAAGAAGGUGAUUUAUAUAAGUAUUUGCUUUCACCUUAAUCUAAUCAGUAGCCAGUUAUGGUCUGUGAAUUAGUCCUACAGAUUGUUAGUGUAGAACAGAAAUCUAUCAAUUCAGUCUGAAGAGACUUGCUACUCACAUUAAGCCAGAGUCUCUAUCACUUUUUGGCUGUGGGUUUAGUUCAGUACAACUCUUGGUGUCAGUCUAAUAUCAGUGAAUGUCUAGAGGAAGAUGUAGAGCAUUCCCUGCAGUCCUACAUCUGUAAAAUACACCAGUCCUUAGCUUAUUAGCUUUGAGCCCUAUGUGGAGAAAUGCUUUUAAGUCUUAUAUAAAGUGCUAUUUUGAAGAGAUCUAGCAAGUCUACUCAUUAUUUGGGCUGAAGAAUUUUCUCUUUUAUAAAUCCUCAGUCUUUCUGUUUAUGAUUUUGACAGUCUUUUUAAAAUGUUCCAUGGCAUCCAGCUUAAGUUACUUUCAAGAUCCAAGUUAAGGAUCAAAAAAUGCUGUUUUUUUCAUGCCCUGAAAUUCUUGAAUGGUCUUUCUUGUAUGGGUGAUGGGAUGACUGACA
ensembl:lncRNA